GUUCCCGUAGUAUAGUGGUCAUCAUAUGCCCCUAACGGACAAGAUUCCCAGUCCGAUCCUGGGCGGAAACA